CGCCUGUUUACCAAAAACAUAGUCCCAAGCUUUAUAUUUGGGAUAUAACCUGCUCAAUGAAAAUUAAAUAGCCGCAGUACCUUGACUGUGCAAAGGUAGCAUAAUCAGUUGGCUAAUAAUUGUAGUCUAGUAUGAAUGGGAAUUGGGGGCUUUACUGUCUUAAUAAUAAGAUACAGAAAUUACUAACUAAGUGAAAAUUCUUAGGGAUUGAAAAAAGACGAGAAGACCCUAGAAAUUUUUAUAGUGUUAUAUAUUUUGUUGGGGCGACAGGGUAACAGAUAACUUACCUAAUUUAUAGGGAAUUUAUAAGUAGUGUAAUCAAAUUACUCUAGGGAUAACAGCAUAAUAUUUUAAAGUUUGUGACCUCGAUGUUGGACUAGGGAAUUAAUUACUUAAAAGGUAGUUACAUAAGCUCUGUUCGAGCUAAGUACCCUACGUGAUCUGAGUUCAGACCGG
rnacentral:rRNA from 1 species